GACGAACGCUGGCGGCGUGCUUAACACAUGCAAGUCGAACGGUGAAGCUCCAGCUUGCUGGAGUGGAUCAGUGGCGAACGGGUGAGUAACACGUGAGCAACCUGCCCCUGACUCUGGAAUAAGCGCUGGAAACGGCGUCUAAUACUGGAUACGAGAAGGGUCCGCAUGGGCACUUUCUGGAAAGUUUUUCGGUUGGGGAUGGGCUCGCGGCCUAUCAGCUUGUUGGUGAGGUAAUGGCUCACCAAGGCGACGACGGGUAGCCGGCCUGAGAGGGCGACCGGCCACACUGGGACUGAGACACGGCCCAGACUCCUACGGGAGGCAGCAGUGGGGAAUAUUGCACAAUGGGCGAAAGCCUGAUGCAGCGACGCCGCGUGAGGGAUGACGGCCUUCGGGUUGUAAACCUCUUUUAGCAGGGAAGAAGCGAAAGUGACGGUACCUGCAGAAGAAGCACCGGCUAACUACGUG
rnacentral:rRNA from 1 species